UGGUGGGGUAACGGCCUACCAAGGUGAUGAUACGNUAGCCGAANUGAGAGRUUGAUCGGCCACAUUGGGACUGAGACACGGCCCAAACUCCUACGGGAGGCAGCAGUAGGGAAUCUUCCACAAUGGACGCAAGUCUGAUGGAGCAACGCCGCGUGAGUGAAGAAGKYYUUCGGAUCGUAANACUCUGUUGUUA
rnacentral:rRNA from 1 species